GCCUGCAACUCACAGGGAUCCUCCUGCCUCAGCCUCCCAAGUGCUGGGAUUGCUACCAUGCCCAGCCCUGGCCCACAUCUUGAUUGGAUUCUUGUGAGAUGUCCCAGGAAUUGCUAAGGGAGUUCUUGGGCUUUACAGUUGCUCCUCUGGGGCUCAGUCCUCCAAAAAAUUGCCAAGAAAAGGAACCUGUUUGUAACUACCACCUGGAGAUCAAGGGCUAUUGGAAUGUUUUGGCCUGAGGAAAGAAAGGAGACACUUGCCAGAUGAAGAUGACCUCCCCUGCGGCUCACCACCCCUGUGUUCUUCCUUUGCCUCCUUUCAAAAGCCUUUGGUGUCCCGGAGUUACUGCAAAUGGGGGACUGAGACAGUUUUCUUCUGAAUCCCUAUCCUCUCAGGAUGCUGGCCUGCAGAUGACACUCGGGUUUUUUUGCCAACUCUCAUCUCCUGAGAACUGGCUUUCCAAUGGCAAGCAGCCUAUAAUGGCGAGCUGUUGACAGAAGGCUUGAAUCUUUGAUCCAUAUGUCUCUGAAUCUAAAUUAUUAAAUCUUACUAGAUACUGCUUCCCAGAUCAGAGCAAAUUCAUCCUGCUGGUUUUGGCAAGAAGGUUAGGAUAGUCUAGUCCAGUGGUUCUCAGAAUGGAAUCCCUCAGCAUCAGCAUCACCUGGGAACUUUUUAGAAAUGUUUAUUCUUGGGACUGUAGCUCUUUCUCAGAAAUUGUGGAGGUUGGGAUUGGGGUUGUAGCUCAGUGUUACAUUGCGUGCCUGUAUGCCCAAGUCCCUAGAUUCAAUCCCCAACCUGACG